rnacentral:rRNA from 1 species
CAGGCUUAACACAUGCAAGUCGAGGGGCAGCAUGGUCUUAGCUUGCUAAGGCCGAUGGCGACCGGCGCACGGGUGAGUAACGCGUAUCCAACCUGCCUUACACUCUUGGACAGCCUUCUGAAAGGGAGAUUAAUACAAGAUGUUAUCAUGAGUAAGCAUUUUCGCAUGAUUAAAGGUUUACCGGUGUAAGAUGGGGAUGCGUUCCAUUAGAUAGUAGGCGGGGUAACGGCCCACCUAGUCUUCGAUGGAUAGGGGUUCUGAGAGGAAGGUCCCCCACAUUGGAACUGAGACACGGUCCAAACUCCUACGGGAGGCAGCAGUGAGGAAUAUUGGUCAAUGGACGAGAGUCUGAACCAGCCAAGUAGCGUGAAGGAUGAAGGUUCUAUGGAUUGUAAACUUCUUUUAUACGGGAAUAAACGAAUCCACGUGUGGAUUUUUGCAUGUACCGUAUGAAUAAGGAUCGGCUAACUCCGUGCCAGCAGCCGCGGUAAUACGGAGGAUCCGAGCGUUAUCCGGAUUUAUUGGGUUUAAAGGGAGCGUAGAUGGGUUGUUAAGUCAGUUGUGAAAGUUUGCGGCUCAACCGUAAAAUUGCAAUUGAUACUGGCAGUCUUGAGUACAGUUGAGGUAGGCGGAAUUCGUGGUGUAGCGGUGAAAUGCUUAGAUAUCACGAAGAACUCCGAUUGCGAAGGCAGCUUACUAACCUGUAACUGACAUUGAUGCUCGAAAGUGUGGGUAUCAAACAGGAUUAGAUACCCUGGUAGUCCACACGGUAAACGAUGAAUACUCGCUGUAGGCGAUAUACAGUCUGCGGCCAAGCGAAAGCAUUAAGUAUUCCACCUGGGGAGUACGCCGGCAACGGUGAAACUCAAAGGAAUUGACGGGGGCCCGCACAAGCGGAGGAACAUGUGGUUUAAUUCGAUGAUACGCGAGGAACCUUACCCGGGCUUAAAUUGCAACCGAAUAUGGCGGAAACGCUAUAGCUAGCAAUAGCGGUUGUGAAGGUGCUGCAUGGUUGUCGUCAGCUCGUGCCGUGAGGUGUCGGCUUAAGUGCCAUAACGAGCGCAACCCUUGCCGAUAGUUACUAACAGGUUAUGCUGAGGACUCUGUCGGGACUGCCAUCGUAAGAUGUGAGGAAGGUGGGGAUGACGUCAAAUCAGCACGGCCCUUACGUCCGGGGCUACACACGUGUUACAAUGGGGGGUACAGAGGGCUGCUACCACGCAAGUGGAUGCCAAUCCCAAAAACCUCUCUCAGUUCGGAUUGAAGUCUGCAACCCGACUUCAUGAAGCUGGAUUCGCUAGUAAUCGCGCAUCAGCCACGGCGCGGUGAAUACGUUCCCGGGCCUUGUACACACCGCCCGUCAAGCCAUGGGAGCCGGGGGUACCUGAAGUGCGUAACCGCAAGGAGCGCCCUAGGGUAAAACUGGUGACUGGGGC